AUUGAACGCUAGCGGGAUGCCUUACACAUGCAAGUCGAACGGAGUGGCGAACUGGUGAUUAAUUCCUAUGAAUCUGCCUGGUAGUGGGGGAUACCGUCCUGAAACGGUCGCUAAUACCUCAUACUAUCAGAUGAGCCUAUGUCGGAUUAGCUAGUUGGUGGGGUAAAUGCCUCACAAGGCGACGAUCCGUAACUGUUCUGAGAGGAUGAUCAGUCAUACUGAGGCUGAGCACAGGUACAGAUUCCUAUGGGAGGCAGAAGUGGGGAUUAUUGGACUAUGUGAGAAAGCCGGAUCCAGCCAUGGCGCGUGUGUGAAGAAGGUCUUCGGAUUGUAAAGCACUUUAAGUUGGGAGGCGUUACCAACAGAAUAAGCAUCGGCUAACUGCGUGCCAGCAGCCGCGGUAAUUC
rnacentral:rRNA from 1 species